UAACUCCUACGGGGGGCAGCAGUGGGGAAUAUUGCACAAUGGGGGAAACCCUGAUGCAGCAACGCCGCGUGAGUGAAGAAGGUUUUCGGAUUGUAAAGCUCUGUUAGCAGGGAAGAGGAAGGACGGUACCUGCAGAGGAAGCCACGGCUAACUACGUGCCAGCAGCCGCGGUAAUACGUAGGGGGCAAGCGUUAUCCGGAUUUACUGGGUGUAAAGGGAGCGUAGACGGUUAUGUAAGUCUGGAGUGAAAGCCCGGGGCCCAACCCCGGGACUGCUUUGGAAACUGUGUAACUGGA
rnacentral:rRNA from 1 species